GCUGGGAAUCCACUAGGACAAGGUCCUGAGACUGCAUGUGACUUGGCCAGAAGGCUGAGUUGCCAAAGACCUACUGCAAACAGGUAGAGAGUGCAUGUGGGCACAGCAACUUGGCCAGGGGGUGCAUGUGAGAGGUGCUAGGAACAAAUCUUCAGGCUCUUGUGAACCUCCUCCUGCAAGGGAAAUGGAACUCAGCCAUUUGCGCAGAGAUCAGUGACUAGUUGACAACAGCUGAAAUAUUUUUGCAAGGGACGAUUGGCCAAUGCGCUGGGUAUUUUGGAGCUACAACCCCUGGAUAUGGAAGGGAUUUACAUGCAUUGUAGUGAAUAUGAUCACUUAUGUAAUCCUUGUGAGUAACGCUGGGCAAAGAAUGCUAACACUUUUCUAACAACAUUUACACAGCACCUACACCUACCCCAGCCCACAUUGACCACCACUCCCAGGCCACCCUUUCCAUACUUGCAAUGUACACAAACUGACUCCCUAUAUGCCACACAUAUGCAGGUGCUUGCUCCACUCUAGAGCUGGUUGGAAGAUUAUGUGCAUGUAUUAAAGGCAGAGAGGUUCAUGUGGGAUAAGUCUGUGUCCAACUGUGAGCUCCAUUUUUGUAUUGAGAAAUCCCUUUUUAUAUUGUGUGGCAAACACAUGUCUAAACUUUCCUGAGGGCAGCUUAUCGUAUUGAAUUCCAGGCACUGUCCUGCCCAGGAGAAGGGCAUGAUAUCUCACUGAAGGACUAUCAUGGAGAAGCCAUGAAAACUGUCUUCCAGGGCUAUUAACUAUCAACUACAGCCUUACCUGCCUGGAACAAUGGGUCUUCUUCACUGGUGGCAAGCCUGAGGAGGGUUGGAGGCUUCCAGCUGGGGACAUGGCAAUAGUGCUGCUCUGAGCAGGGAGCUGACCAUCACACAAAGGCAGGAGGGGCUCUGGCUUGCCUGAAACAUUAACAGAACUUCAUGGGGUGAAAUCAGACUGGGGAGGGUGCAGCUCAGGACUUUUGUUGUUUCAAUAAGUGUCUGUUAAGAAAUACCUUUGCUAAGCCUGUGUUCCUUGCUUUCCUUCUAUGUUGUCUCCAAACGGGUUAAACUGGAAACCCAGGAUGCCCACAGUUUAGGUGGAACUUUGUCUGAGAGAAUAACUGGUGAGACUCAGACUGAGAUGUUUUUGGGGGGAGGGGGGGGAGGGGAGGAGAAUAUUGUGUCUGGACAGGGAAGUUCCACUUCCCAAAGAAGGGUGUCAAAUGCAGUUGAAACCUGGGAAUGGGCCAAGACACCCAGACCUAGAAAUAUGGGAAGCAGGGGUUGACAGACUGGUGACCAUACAGAAAGGCACUAGGUCAGGCUGUAAUAAGGGGAUUGCAAAAGCUUUCACUACUUAUGAAAUCUUGAGACUUCUGAAAACUUCCAAACAGUGUUAGAGCUGGGCAGAAACCUGGAAUUAUUUUUCUGGUGAAAUUUUUUUAACUCUUGUUUUGGCUGAAAUUUUGAAGUGUUCUAGAGGUGUAAACCUCUAUACGUGUACACACAGGCAGGUUCCUUCCUCACCACUUCCCUCCAGCAUGCAAACUGGCAUUUCAGGCAUGUUCCAUGUUUUGUGCUCCCCAUUCCCCUCCUGCUGCUGCUCUUCACUGGCUCUUGUCCACAGCUCCUCCCUGGUCUGCUUCUCCCCUGCUUUGUCAACAGCCUGCUACCAACUUGCCAGUUUAAAACUCUCUUCCCCCUGUGCAAGCAUGUGAAUUCUCACUCCCGCACAGCAAGGUCUCCUUACUCACAUGUUUAAACAAAUGGAUGGUGAAUGAGUUUUUGCUGCUUCUGUGUUGAUUUCCUGUGACUAUUCUAGUCAAUGAACUUUACUUAGCAUGAAUGAAAGCAAAUGUUAAGCUUGAAUGUUUCAAUAUUCACCAUCAAUAAAUUUCAAAUAGUGGGCCAGAUCCUCCCCUGGGGCUUGAUCUUGACCCACUGAAGUCACUAGGAGUUAGGGUUGCCAGGUGUCCAGUUUUCAACCGGAAGGCCUGGUUGAAAAGGGACCCCGGCAACUCUGGUCAGCACUGCUGACUGGGCAGUUAAAAGUCCAGUCAGCGUCACAGCGGGGCAAAGGCAGGCUCCUUGCCUGCCAUGUCUCUGUGCAGCUCCUGGAAGCAUGUCCCUCCUCGGCUUCCUAUGCAUAGGGGUGCCUAGGGUGCUCUGCAUGCCGCCCCUGCCCCAAGUGCCAGUUCUGCAGCUCCCAUUGGCCAUGGUUCCUGGCCAACGGGAACUUCAGGGGUGGCACACAGUUGCCUGGCUGCACCUCUGCUUAGGAGCAAGAGGGGGGACAUGCCACUCCUUCUAGGAGCUGCCUAAGGUAAGUGGUCCCUGGAGCCUGCACCCUUGCCCAGCACUGACUCCCCUCCCCCCUGCCCUCCAAACCUCUUGGU